GUCUAAUUGGCUUAGGGUAGCGCGUCUGCCUUGUAAGCGCUAGUUUGCGGGUUCGAUUCCCGCCUGGGGCG
rfam:Asian citrus Psyllid, Diaphorina citri - Florida Strain, whole genome shotgun sequence.